rnacentral:rRNA from 1 species
GAUGAACGCUGGCGGCGUGCUUAACACAUGCAAGUCGAACGGAACUACUCCAAUGAGAGUCUUCGGAAAGGAUUUGGUUUAGUUUAGUGGCGGACGGGUGAGUAACGCGUGGGUAACCUGCCCUAUACAGGGGGAUAACAGUUGGAAACGACUGUUAAUACCGCAUAAGCGCACAGGAGCGCAUGCUCCGGUGUGAAAAACUCCGGUGGUAUAGGAUGGACCCGCGUCUGAUUAGCUGGUUGGCGGGGUAACGGCCCACCAAGGCGACGAUCAGUAGCCGGGCUGAGAGGGUGAACGGCCACAUUGGGACUGAGACACGGCCCCAACUCCUACGGGGGGCAGCAGUGGGGAAUAUUGCACAAUGGGGGAAACCCUGAUGCAGCGACGCCGCGUGAGCGAAGAAGUAUCUCGGUAUGUAAAGCUCUAUCAGCAGGGAAGAAAAUGACGGUACCUGACUAAGAAGCCCCGGCUAACUACGUG